rnacentral:rRNA from 1 species
CUUAGUGGCGGACGGGUGAGUAACGCGUGGGUAACCUGCCUCAUACAGGGGGAUAACAGUUAGAAAUGACUGCUAACACCGCAAUAAUAUAGCGAAACCGCAUGAUUUUGCUAUCAAAUAUUUAUAGGUAUGAGAUGGGCCCGCGUCUGAUUAGCUAGUUGGUGGGGUAAAGCCUACCAAGGCGACGAUCAGUAGCCGGCUUGAGAGAGUGACCGGCCACAUUGGGACUGAGACACGGCCCAAACUCCUACGGGAGGCAGCAGUGGGGAAUAUUGGACAAGUGGGGAAACCCUGAUCCAGCGAACCGCCGCGUGAGUGAAGAAGUAUUUCGGUAUGUAAAGCUCUAUCAGCAGGGAAGAUAAUGACAGUACCUGAACUAAGAAGCCCCGGCUAACUACGUGCCAGCCGCUGC